rnacentral:rRNA from 1 species
AGCAGCCGCGGUAAUUCCAGCUCCAAUAGCGUAUAUUAAAGUUGUUGCAGUUAAAAAGCUCGUAGUUGAAUUUCGGGAUUAGUACGCUGGUCAUGCCUUUGGUAUGUACUGGUGUUACUGGUUCCUACCUUCUGAAGAACCGUUAUGUCAUUAAUUUGGUGUGGCGGGGAAUCAGGACUGUUACUUUGAAAAAAUUAGAGUGUUUAAAGCAGGCUCGCGCUUGAAUACAUUAGCAUGGAAUAAUGAAAUAGGACGUUGAUCCUAUUUUGUUGGUUUCUAGGAUUGACGUAAUGAUCAAUAGGGAUAGUGGGGGCAGUUAGUAUUCAAUUGUCAGAGGUGAAAAUUCUUGGAUUUAUUGAAGACUAACUACUGACGAAAGCAUUUGACCAGGAUGUUUUCAUUAGUCGAGAACGAAAGUUAGGGAUCGAAGACGAUCAGAUACCGUCUAGUCUUAACCAUAAACUAUGCCGACUAGGAUGGAUGAUUGUUUAAUUUUUAUGUA